UGUGCGUAUCGCUCAGUCGUGAUGGCAACGGACGAAUCAGCUUUCUCAUAAAAGACGGAAAGAGAAAAAGUGAAGGACAGAAAGACAAACUGGUGGUAUUGGAACACUUUUAAGAAAUGACUCGGUCUACACCAGAGUCUUCCCUGGUGGCUCAGAUGGUAAAGCAUCUGCCUACAAUGCGGGAGACCCAGGUUCGAUCCCUGGGUUGGGAAGAUCCUCUGGAGAAGGAAAUGGCAACCCCCUCCAGUACUCUUGCCUGGAAAAUCCCAUGGACGGAGGAGCGUUGUAGGCUACAGUCCAUGGGGUCGCAAAGAAUCAGAGACGACUGAGCGACUUCACUUUCACUUUCACAUCAAAGUCAACCCAACCUUUCAUCAUUGGAAGGUUGACAACAGUUAGUUUUGACUUAAUUUCCAAAGCCUUGAGUGAGGAAACCAAAGACCUUAUAAAAAGCUCAACAUCAUCUUUCACUGUCCAUUAUGAAACUGGAGCUUUGCGAUGACAACGUUUUAUUAAUACAACUGCUAAUUCGUCUCAGAAGGAACAACUUGUUCAGAGGAUCUCCUCCCUCAUAUCCUGUUAGCACCAGAGGACUUACAGCCUGGGUCACCUCCCGGACCCAUACCUCACAGACCGUUAUCAUAUCAAACAGCUGAUGGCAAGGCCCCACUGGCAGGUGAGGAGACCGUGCGCAUCAAUCCAGGGAGAAGAUCUGGGACAAGCACUAAGAGGAUUACCAGUGUGUGCAAGGGACAAAUACCUGGACCACUUGGAGGAUGCAGACCCCGACCAGUGUUUCGCCAAGGGCAAGGUCUCUAAGCAUGACUACAGUUACCCCAUGUGGACUCCUUAGACUUUGGCAUCAGUGUGGGACCAGUGAGAUUAAGACACAGUCAUCUCAGAGCAAGUCCCAGCAGUGGAAGGAGAGUAUCAUGCACAUACAACAGAAUGCAUUCAACUUCCCCUAUAAUGAAAUGGACGUGAGAGUUGGACUGUGAAGAAGGCUGAGAGCCAAAGAAUUGAUGCUUUUGAACUGUGGUGUUGGAGAAGACUCUUGAGAGUCCCUUGGACUGCAAGGAGAUCCAACCAGUCCAUUCUAAAGGAGAUCAGCCCUGGGUAUUCCUUGGAAGGAAUGAUGCUAAAGCUGAAACUCCAGUACUUUGGCCACCUCAUACGAAGAGUUGACUCAUUGGAAAAGACUCUGAUGCUGGGAGGGAUUGGGGGC
ensembl:lncRNA